UAGUCCACGCCGUAAACGAUGUCUACUUGGAGGUUGUGGCCUUGAGCCGUGGCUUUCGGAGCUAACGCGUUAAGUAGACCGCCUGGGGAGUACGGUCGCAAGAUUAAAACUCAAAUGAAUUGACGGGGGCCCGCACAAGCGGUGGAGCAUGUGGUUUAAUUCGAUGCAACGCGAAGAACCUUACCUACUCUUGACAUCUACAGAAUCCAGCGGAGACGCAGGAGUGCCUUCGGGAACUGUAAGACAGGUGCUGCAUGGCUGUCGUCAGCUCGUGUUGUGAAAUGUUGGGUUAAGUCCCGCAACGAGCGCAACCCUUAUCCUUAAUUGCCAGCGAGUUAUGUCGGGAACUUUGGGGAGACUGCCGGUGAUAAACCGGAGGAAGGUGGGGACGACGUCAAGUCAUCAUGGCCCUUACGAGUAGGGCUACACACGUGCUACAAUGGCGCAUACAGAGGGCAGUCAACUUGCAAAAGUGAGCGAAUCCCAAAAAGUGCGUCGUAGUCCGGA
rnacentral:rRNA from 1 species